rnacentral:tRNA from 1 species
ACCUGGUUAGCUUGACCAGUAGAGCGUGUGACUCUGAAUGUCAGGGUUGUGAGUUCAAGCUUCACACUGGGUA